GACGAACGCUGGCGGCGUGCCUAACACAUGCAAGUCGAACGGGGUAAAUUGCUUCGGUAGUUUACUUAGUGGCGAACGGGUGAGUAACGCGUGAGGAACCUGCCUCUCAGUGGGGGACAACAGUUGGAAACGACUGCUAAUACCGCAUAACAUUCAGAGACCGCAUGAUUUCUGAAUCAAAGCUUUAUGUGCUGAGAGAUGGCCUCGCGUCUGAUUAGCUAGUUGGUGAGGUAACGGCUCACCAAGGCGACGAUCAGUAGCCGGUCUGAGAGGAUGAACGGCCACAUUGGGACUGAGAUACGGCCCAGACUCCUACGGGAGGCAGCAGUGGGGAAUAUUGGGCAAUGGGGGAAACCCUGACCCAGCAACGCCGCGUGAGGGAAGAAGGCUUUCGGGUGUAAACCUCUUUACCUAGGGACGAAGAACGUGACGGUACCUGGAGAAAAAGACAACGGCUAACUACGUAG
rnacentral:rRNA from 1 species